rnacentral:lncRNA from 1 species
GCGCGGCCACCAUUUCAGUCCCGGCCUCCGGGAAGUGAGAAAACCCCUAGGGAAACGUGCAGGAUUCUGGGACUCUUUGGGACAUCCCUCCCUGGCAGAAAGGAUCUAUUCUAGUCAGCAGUGGGGACCUGGGCUGGGCACCUCAUGCUGGCCGUUGCGAAGGGUGGUGCAAAGAGGAAAAGAACAGAGACCUAAAGGGGCCCUAAUUCAUCCCAGGCACCGGCCACUGGCAGAUGACUGGCCCAAACAAGCCGGGAGGGCCACUCUGCAGAACCAAGCAGGAGGCGGAGCCGAGCAGGGAAGGCGGGACCCUGGAGGACGUCUUGGCUCCUGGCUUCGCGGGUUCUUUGGGAUGUUUUAGGAAGGACUCGACCUCCAGAUGUGUGGUGAUUGGAGGU